rnacentral:lncRNA from 1 species
CACUUCUGUCCCCAGAUCCGGGAGCCCUGAGCCGCUCCGGAGCCGUGUUCCUGCGCCUCAGCCGCGGCCCCGGCACCCUCAGCCCCGGCCCCCCUCGCUGCGCUCACAGGAACCUGUUUGCCUUUAUUUUAUUUCAGAGGUCUACGUUUCUUUCUUUCUCUCUCUCUCUCUCUCUCUCUUUUUUUUUUUUUUUUGUUGGGUUUUUUUUUUUUUUUUUUUUUUAACUGUUGCAACACUUGCUUUGCUUUGAUUCAAACAUCCAAGCUCAGGAGCAAAUGAAAGGCGCCCACAGUACCAGAGAGCGAGAAUAAAUAAAUAACAAAAUAGAUAUGUAUAUCUUAGAAAGGCGGCUCUGGGAAGGCUGCGGGGCUGCCUGGCUGCUUCCUCCCUCUCCUCCCUCUCCUCCUCCUCCUCCUCCUCCGCGCCGCGCGGAUGGCGGAGCGGUGCCCGGCGCUGCGCGGUGUGUGCGUGCGCGCGGAGCGCUGCAGGUUCCGUGCUGUCAGAUGCCAGGCAGUGAGUGAUAUGGGAGAGGACAGGGAGGCUUCGGAGGGAAGGAAAUCUGCUGUUCGCACACACACGCGCGCGCACACACACACACUCUCGCACACACGCACACACGCACACACACACACACACACACACACAUACAGGCAGGGCGAGGCGAUGCCAGCAAACAUCGAUCCGCUGAGCAAACUGCACAUUAACAAACUCCUCCUCCGCGCCCUGAUGACAGGAGGAAAUUUACUCCGCGCAGUUUAUUAAAGAGACAGCGCGCGCCGCCGCCGGGCCCACGGCACCUGGGGCGCGCGCCGCCGACGCCCCCUUCCCGCGCGCGCGCCCCCCUCCCUCCCACCAGCGCGCGCGCCCCCCUCGCCCCACGCUCGAGGCCCGGCACCACGCGCGGCCUCGCGCGGAGCGUCCUGGGGAGGGCGCUGCGGGGCGGCCCCGGGGCUCCGUCCAGGCGCGCGGCCGGGGGUCCCCUCCCCGUGCUCCCUCGCGGCCGUCCCGCGCUCGGCGCAAACUUCGGUGAAGUUGAGGUCGCUCCCGAGCCCCCCUCGGGGCCCGUCGGUACGAGCAGCCCGCGGCAUCGCCGCCGAGCGCAGGGCGGGAGUGGGGUGCCACAUCUCUGCUCUCCCAAGGCCCCCGCACCUGGACUGGGGAGAACGGCUGUAUCACCUCAGGGGCAAUGUCCAUCCCUCCUCGUGUCCCGCAGCUCCCACCAGUGGCUGCAGCACUGGGCCACAUCCCAGCGUUGUGUCGGCAGCGGAACCGGAGCUCAGCGCGUGAAGGCCCAACCGCGUGUGAGAGGACCUGGAAAACAAGUUCAGCCCUGCUAUCUGCGCCUGGCAUGUGAGAAUGAAAACUGA